AAACAGUACAAUCAAAACAUUAAAAAUGUUGCACACAGGCAGUCCUCCGCGCUUUGCAGCCGACUGAUUGAAAAUUAAAGUUAUUAAAAGAAAGAUCCACUUCCUAAAGCAAGGGCCUCCUGUUUGUUCAGGCUGAGGACAACACAUAUCCACAUAACUGUAUCCAGACUCUUGCAUCCCAACCAAAAUACAUCUGUACUCAGUGCAGAUGGACUGGCCCUUCAAUUCAUCACAUUGUCAAAACGUUUUUCAAUUAUAGUUAUUAA
rnacentral:lncRNA from 1 species